GAUUUCAAUUUAGAAAUGGAAUUUGGAAUCCCAUUCCAGAAAGCUUAAAAUUAAGUCUGCAUCGAUCUCACACAUAUUAUAAAUUUUAAUAUAACUCAAAGAUAAAAUAAAUAAGAUAUAAACAAUUUUUUUUUGUUACAGAAAGUAAGUAUUGUUAUUUCUAAUUACAAUUUCAUGGAUUACUUACCAUUUAGGCCAAACUUUAUUCAGUAAAUUUUCAAAACAAAUGUUAAUGUUAAGUACAGAUGUUUUGUUGUCAAUUUAUAUAUUAUUUAUAUUUUUUUACAGCCUGGAGUAAGUAAAAAAGAAUGCAACUGAUGGAAUAAUAUUAUAUUCUUUUUCAUAUAUUUUACAAAAUAAUGCCGCGGUUUUUUAUUUUCCUGGCGUGGCUAUAUUAAAGAUUUUAACGCAAGAAUCAUCGCGUUAUCUCAUUUCUAUAUAUUAAAUUUAGAAAUAUAUUAAAAAUGUUUACCACUCCUGCCUACUGCAAACAAACCUACUACACCAAUAAUUUAUGUUUCAGUGCAUCUGCCUGACUAGAGGUCCUUUGCCGAAAUUCAAAUUGAUUGGAAACAUACACUUUCCUAAAAUCAAGGUGACGCCUGGACGGUACGUGACGGUGCCCACAGAAGCAACGUCUACUCUGUGCCCACCCUGCGACUGCAGCAGUUGCCCGCCACAUCCCAUGUACGAGCCAUAGAAGACAUUGGACUAUAAAAUAAAUAUUAACCUGCCUAUA